rnacentral:lncRNA from 1 species
AAUCUCGCAAAGAAACGAUAUUCGAAUUUCCGCGAUAAUCAAACUGGACCAGACCGAUAGAUUCGGCUCACCUUGAAAUGGUCUCUUCGUUCUUCUUAAGCCCGUCCUUGUGAGCUUUCUCUUGGAUCUGGUGCAGUGCCGACAUAAUUCCUUUGAUAUCACUGUAAAAUUCAACCACAAUCUCAAUCUCAUAACAUCGUCCACAAAUCUACGAGCAAAAUAAAAAAGAUGAAGAAGAAAUUAUAGGAAAACGAACUUGGAGAGGUCGAGAUCGAGGUGAUCCGAUUUGGCGAGCUGAGGCUCGAUCGGUCCUCCUGCGGUUCUUGUUACUCGGUUUUCAAAU